rnacentral:tRNA from 1 species
GAGGCUAUAGCUCAGUGGUAGAGUGCAGGCUUGGCAAGCACGCGGUCCUGGGUUCAAUCCCCAGCACCUCU